rnacentral:rRNA from 1 species
GACGAACGCUGGCGGCGUGCUUAACACAUGCAAGUCGUACGGUAAGGCCCUUUCGGGGUACACGAGUGGCGAACGGGUGAGUAACACGUGAGUAACCUGCCCACAACUUUGGGAUAACGCUAGGAAACUGGUGCUAAUACUGGAUAUGUGCUCCUGCUGCAUGGUGGGGGUUGGAAAGCUCCGGCGGUUGUGGAUGGACUCGCGGCCUAUCAGCUUGUUGGUGGGGUAGUGGCCUACCAAGGCGGCGACGGGUAGCCGGCCUGAGAGGGUGACCGGCCACAUUGGGACUGAGAUACGGCCCAGACUCCUACGGGAGGCAGCAGUGGGGAAUAUUGCACAAUGGGCGCAAGCCUGAUGCAGCAACGCCGCGUGCGGGAUGACGGCCUUCGGGUUGUAAACCGCUUUCAGCAGGGACGAAGCUUUUUGUGACGGUACCUGCAGAAGAAGCACCGGCUAACUACGUG